GCGGGUGUAGUUCAAUGGUAGAACUGGAGCUUCCCAAGCUUCCGAUACGGGUUCGAUCCCCGUCACCCGCUCCA
rnacentral:tRNA from 1 species